UACGUAGGGGGCAAGCGUUGUCCGGAUUUAUUGGGCGUAAAGAGCGUGUAGGCGGCCAGACAGGUCAGCUGUGAAAACUCGAGGCUCAACCUCGAGACGUCGGUUGAAACCGUCUGGUUAGAGUCCGGAAGAGGAGAGUGGAAUUCCCGGUGUAGCGGUGAAAUGCGCAGAUAUCGGGAAGAACACCCGUGGCGAAGGCGGCUCUCUGGGACGGUACUGACGCUGAGACGCGAAAGCGUGGGGGAGCAAACAGG
rnacentral:rRNA from 1 species